rnacentral:lncRNA from 1 species
GUUUCCAUAGCGACUUCAUUUUGCACUUGUGAAGCUGAGUUGGUCCAGAUUUCAUUAACGAAGUCAUCGUCAUUAAACCCUGCUGCCAGAUUUUCUAUGGUAUUUGUUUGUGAAUUUGGCCAUUGAGGUGCAUAGCUUGUUUGGGGAUAGUUGACAAAGUGUGGAGGGGUUGGUAGGUUGAACGAGGAGUAUUGUGAUUGGUCUGGAUAACUGGUUUGUGUGGUGUAUUGAGUUGGAUUGUAGUCAUCAAAUGAAUAGUUUGAUGUUCGAGAGCUUUCUCCAUGAUGACUUUGUUG